AAGUCGAACGAUGAAACAGGUACUUGUACCUGCGGAUUAGUGGCGCACGGGUGAGUAAAGAAUAGAUUACAUGCCUCAUAGACCGGGACAACAGUUGGAAACGACUGCUAAUACUGGAUAUUCCCUACGGGGGAAAGCUUUUGCGCUAUGAGAUUGGUCUAUUUCCCAUCAGCUAGUUGGUAAGGUAAUGGCUUACCAAGGCUAUGACGGGUAGCUGGUCUUAGAGGACGAUCAGCCACACUGGAACUGAGACACGGUCCAGACUCCUACGGGAGGCAGCAGUGGGGAAUAUUGCACAAUGGGGGAAACCCUGAUGCGGCAACGCCGCGUGGAGGAUGACGCAUUUCGGUGUGUAAACUCCUUUUAUAUAGGAAGAUAAUGACGGUACUAUAUGAAUAAGCACCGGCUAACUCCGUGCCAGCAGCCGCGGUAAUACGGAGGGUGCAAGCGUUACUCGGAAUCACUGGGCGUAAAGCGCGCGCAGGCGGGCUGAUAAGUUGGAUGUGAAAGCCUACGGCUCAACCGUAGAACUGCAUCCAAAACUGUCAGUCUAGAGUCUGGGAGGGGAAGAUGGAAUUAGUUGUGUAGGGGUAAAAUCCGUAGAGAUAACUAGGAAUACCAAAAGCGAAGGCGAUCUUCUGGAACAGUACUGACGCUGAGGCGCGAAAGCGUGGGGAGCAAACAGGAUUAGAUACCCUGGUAGUCCACGCCCUAAACGAUGAAUGUUAGUCGUUGGAGAGCUCGUCUCUUCAGUGAUGCAGCUAACGCAUUAAACAUUCCGCCUGGGGAGUACGGUCGCAAGAUUAAAACUCAAAGGAAUAGACGGGGACCCGCACAAGUGGUGGAGCAUGUGGUUUAAUUCGAAGAUACGCGAAGAACCUUACCUGGCCUUGACAUUGAUAGAAUCUUCCAGAGAUGGAGGAGUGCCCUUCGGGGAGCUUGAAAACAGGUGCUGCACGGCUGUCGUCAGCUCGUGUCGUGAGAUGUUGGGUUAAGUCCCGCAACGAGCGCAACCCUCGUGACUAGUUACUAACGGUUCGGCCGAGGACUCUAGUCAGACUGCCUCCGCAAGGAGGAGGAAGGUGAGGACGACGUCAAGUCAUCAUGGCCCUUACGGCCAGGGCGACACACGUGCUACAAUGGGUAGGACAAUGAGACGCGAUACCGCGAGGUGGAGCAAAUCUAUAAACCUACUCUCAGUUCGGAUAGCAGUCUGCAACUCGACUGCUUGAAGCUGGAAUCACUAGUAAUCGUAGAUCAGCCAUGCUACGGUGAAUACGUUCCCGGGUCUUGUACUCACCGCCCGUCACACCAUGGGAGUUGAUAUCACCCGAAGCGGGGAAGCUAA
rnacentral:rRNA from 1 species